rnacentral:piRNA from 1 species
CGUCCGUGAAGAUGGUGGUCUUGUGGCGC